AAAGUCGUAACAAGGUCUCCGUUGGUGAACCAGCGGAGGGAUCAUUACCGAGUUUUCAACUCCCAAACCCCUGUGAACACUACCACACGUUGCUUCGGCGGCGGGAGAGGGCGCCCCCGGGCGCCCCCGCCCUCACCGCCGGGGGACCCAACAAACUCUUUUGCCAUCGCCCGCGCGGCGGAAUCUCAGCUCUGAGUCGCAAACAAAAAAUGAAUCAAAACUUUCAACAACGGAUCUCUUGGUUCUG
rnacentral:misc_RNA from 1 species